CAUAGAGUGACUGAAAUGUUAGUUAUGGUCUCUUAAACCAUUAAUGGUAACCGACGAAUUACCCUCUACGA
rnacentral:tRNA from 1 species